ensembl:lncRNA
GUCGUAUGACAGUUGGAUCAACACGCGAGGGCGCAGCGGCUAGGUCGUAUGACAGUUGGAUCAACACGCGAGGGCGCAGCGGCUAGGUCGUAUGACAGUUGGUCAUUUCGUUUUAAGAAACUGCCCAUCGGUUUUCCAGAGUGGCUGUACCACUUGACAUUCCCACCAGCAACGUCUAAGACCAGCUUCUCCACAUCUUGUCACUGGCAACUUGUGUUCAUUCAUCCAACAGGUAUUUAUGAAUGCCCAGCCUGUGUGCCAAGCACUGUUCUAGACGCUGGGUUUACAGCAACAAAAGACUCAUAAUUCGCAUUACCAAAUAGGAGCUUUCAUACUGAAGGGCGUACACAGCAACACACAAGUCAACAAACUGAUCAUGGCAUUACUUUGAUAAUCAGACAUGCAAAUGAGCAAUACGGCUUCACAAGGUUAAGCUCAUCCCAGGACACAGAGAGCAACAGUCCUCAUCCACGGCUGCACCCUGGAAACAUCUGAUGCUUGGCAGGGCAGGAGGGAACCAGAAGCACCCAGAACUGCUUCCUUUAUCACCAGACUUCCCAUUAGGAAAAUUCCUGGGAUGAUGAGGAACCCCUGCAAUAAAGAGUGAUGGAUGCACACGGCUCCUCAAAGGUACAUGAGUGGUGACGUGCGGUGGUGCCACGUCUCUGAGCUGGGAAUCUCCUUCCUGUUGACUGGAGGAAGCCGUGAUGUCCCACAGUCUGGGGUCCUGAUACACGGGAGAGGCCGGCACAGAGCGGAAGAUGCCGAGGGGCUGCGGAAAGGGCAGCAAAGCCACUGCAAGUGAAGCCCAGAAGGAGACAAGUGAUGAGCCAAACGGGUCAUGAGACCAGCCCACCGACAGCCACGUCCAUUCUGAGGGGAGUACCAUCCUUAUCCUGGACCCAGGGCAAGGGAUGCAGAGUCUGAGAGACAACUCCGGGGCCACCAGAUCACAGACCACAGGCUGUCUUCUGGAAGGCUGCAGUGAUCCACACGUCCUCCAGCAACUUGGGAGAGCUCUUGGCUGAGCUCAUUAACGUCCUACAUUUUCCUCCUUCCAGGCUGCCCCUCCCCCACCAGUCUUCUUUCUCUGACAUGGUAUGAGCCGAGCCGAGCCACAUCAGUCUCACCUGCUCGCGGCCCGUGAGCCCUCCCAGUCUACAGCCCUUGGGCAGGCACAGGGCAAACUCCAGAGAUGCUCACUUUCCCGGCUCGGCCUGGCCAGUACCUCCCAGAAGCCCAAGAGAGAAACCCAAGCCAGGGUGGGAGCGACGUCUUCCAGGACCUGAGGGCGCAGAUGGCAGAGACAGUGGCAGGGCUGGCUCCUCACAUGCUCGCAGGGCACGCUGUUCUAAACUCACGCUGGCUGAGCUGCCCUCACAAGCCAGCAGCCCAGGGGCCCCCACACGCCCACAGCCUCUUAGCAAGGGCGAGGGAAGCCUGAAGCAGCUGCUGCCCCAGGACCUGCCCUCUCAGGAGCAAGGCCAGAGACGGCAGACAGGAGGGAACGGGCAACAAAGAACACGGGAGAGUCAAGUUCGUACAAACAAGAGGCCUUCUCGUUCACAUGCUCCGGGCCGGUCAUGCUCUAGGCUGGACCAGAACCAAAAGGCUUGCCAGCCACUGCUCCUAAGCUCCACUGUGACUCACGCGACAGGAAAACAAAGCUGACCCAGCGCAGACAGCCGGGCCCCAAGUACGGCUGCAACUCCAAAGAAACGCACCUGCCAGAGAUGAACCUGCAGAACGGACGGCACCGGGCGCGGCCAGAGGAGAAAACAGCUCAGGGGAAGGUGGGAGAGGGGACGGCGUGAAAAAAACUCUUAAAAUCGUCCGCCAGUCCACACGAUCCAGGUCCCGUGCUGCCCUCCGCAACCCACACCCUGGCCUGAGCGGAGCUCGGUGCCCAAGGCCCCAGCCUUGUUGCUGUGGCUCCCGCUUCCUGGAACACUCUUGCCCUUGACCCCUUACUGAGCCUUAAAGCUCAGUUAGCAAGGGCGCGUGCACGUAGGGGCUGGCUGGAGCGGCCUCUGAGUGCCCAUUAGCAGGGAUGGGCUGAAAAGUGUGACUCACACACACAAUGGGAUCCUUUAUGUCUCUUUGUCACUCACCCUCCACGGCAAGUCCGUUAGCGAGUUCUGUUGCCACAACCUCCAAAAUGAUCCUGAAUUCACUUCCUUCCCCAUCCUUCCUAGGCCAAGCGACCACCAUCAUUUUUCACCUGGACAGCUCCAUCAGAUCCUCUGCUGGUCUCCCCAAAUCCACUCUUGCCUUCCUAGAUUCGAUGCUCCACACACAGCCAGAGAGAUCAAAUCAAACAGGGAUCACACCAGAUUGCUUUCCUGCUUAAAAUCUCUCAACAGCUCUCGAACCUCAUCUCCUUCCACUUUACCCAUCACCCAAAUGCUCCUACUGCACUGGCUUUCUUUCCCUUCCAAGCUCAUUCCUGCCCCAGGGCCUUUGCACAUUUUACCUUUGCUCUUCUCAAGGCUGGUUUCUUCCUGCCAGUCAGGUCUCCCCAUGACUGUACACAGUGGUGAGUAGGCAUGAGACCUAACUACGCACAGUGACAGGGACGUCUCACAGACAUAAUGCUGAACAGAAAGGCCAGGCACAAAGGAGCAUUUACAUAAAGUUCAAAGUGAAAUGUCAAGAGAGUGGUUUUGCUCGGAAGGGAGGAAUGACUGGAAGGGGCAGAAAGGGGACUUUAGGGGCUGGAAAUACUGUUUUUCCGAGCUGGCUACAUGGGUGUGUUCAGGGUGUGAAUGUGCAUCUAACUACACAUCUUUGACAUGUGUGCUUGCCUUUUUCUGCAUUACAUGAUAGUUUAAUUAAAACAUUUUGGCUGCCCA